UCUAAGGGAAAUAUACACGCACACUAUUAGGGAAAAUGUUUAUAAAUAUAAUGGCCAUGAUCUGCCACGAUCAUUGGCUCCUAACGAAGGAGAAGAAAGCUUUAGAUUUUUUUGUCAGAAUGAAACCUCAAAGGACGACAACACAAUCUUUUCCACCAGCCAUAAAUGUCCAAUGGAACCAAUCGAUAUAUGGAUGCCCCAGCCCCCACAGUAUAAGAAACAUUUGCUUGGAUGUUAGAUAAAUGCAUCUUUGCAGCAGCCAUGCUAUCAACCUGAAGCAUUAUAUUAUCCUAAAAACCGCUGGGAUUCAUUGAACGACGUCGAUAUACCCUACACCAAUGUUCCCAUAUAGAGAAUGGCUGUAUUUAUUCAGGGAUGACGCAAAAUAGAGACCAUUCUCGAUGCAAAAUCAACUGUUUUUUGCAGGUCACACGUAAACGUCGAAUGUAAUAGGCUGUAAUUAACUAGUUUUGAGUUAAUGUUUUCACAUGGCAUAAGCAUAGGAAGGGGGUCUAGUGGGGUAUAUUCUUGUAAUGCCGUUGCCAGCAAUGCCAGUAAAAAAUAAGGAAAUAAAUAUACAUGUACAAAUAAUCCAUAAAAAAUACUUUAAACAAAAUCCUAUAAUUAGAUAUAUGAUUUUUGAGUACCCCUAUGGCCAUACAGGCACUGCUAGAUCAGACUGAUAUACAAAAAAAUGGUAGAAAACUGGAAGAUGUCUUCAAAAAACCAAUACGCAAUGUCGAUAAGAGUGGAGCAAUGGAACCCACAUCAUUCUGCAAAUAUAGAAUGUUUUGGCAAUGGUAAUAGUGAUGUUAAAUAAUGCUAGAAAAUUCUAUAUUCUAUGUCAAUCAGCACAGAGGAAUGUUCAAUGUAUAAUACGUCCCCAUAGGCCCCAUAUUUAGACCAAAGACUUGUUCUAAUCCGAAAAGAAAUCACAAGUGAGAGAGAAAUACGAAGAUUAGACGACAAAAAGAUUUUAUGAUUUGCCGCAGAACCCGUCUCCACGACAAGCACAGGGCAAACAACACAAUAGUUAUAUAGAAUCGAGGAGAACGGGACAAUAGGAACGUGAAACCCGAAGUUUUUGUUUGUGUUAAUCCCCCCGCAACGUGAUAAUACUGA